GCUAUUGAAGAAUGACCCUUUUGUGAAAGAGCUUGCUGAUCAGUUUGACACAGAUGAGAUGAAACAGCCUGCUGUCGAAGCAAUGACCACUGUUCGAUCCGAACCUAAUUUUGUCGUCGAUCUUGAUGUGAGUUCAACGCACAGCACAGAUCCACUUACUCCUACUGGAAAA